rnacentral:rRNA from 1 species
ACACUCCUGCGGGAGGCAGCAGUGGGGAAUUUUGGACAAUGGGCGAAAGCCUGAUCCAGCAAUGCCGCGUGCAGGAUGAAGGCCUUCGGGUUGUAAACUGCUUUUGUACGGAACGAAAAAGCUCCUUCUAAUACAGGGGGCCCAUGACGGUACCGUAAGAAUAAGCACCGGCUAACUACGUGCCAGCAGCCGCGGUAAUACGUAGGGUGCGAGCGUUAAUCGGAAUUACUGGGCGUAAAGCGUGCGCAGGCGGUUAUGUAAGACAGAUGUGAAAUCCCCGGGCUCAACCUGGGAACUGCAUUUGUGACUGCAUGGCUAGAGUACGGUAGAGGGGGAUGGAAUUCCGCGUGUAGCAGUGAAAUGCGUAGAUAUGCGGAGGAACACCGAUGGCGAAGGCAAUCCCCUGGACCUGUACUGACGCUCAUGCACGAAAGCGUGGGGAGCAAACAGGAUUAGAAACCCGGGUAGUCCCA